rnacentral:lncRNA from 1 species
GGAAAACUAAAACAAAAAUAAAUUAGUAACAACCAAAAAAAAAAAAAACACGUUCUAAACAACUUCCUAAAUUUCAGAUUUUUACAACCUUUCUCAUACCUCCACGAUCACCAUUUAGGAGCAAUCUCGGAUAACCACCUCUGUUCUAUCAUUUAUAUUUCUGUGAUUCAUGUCAAUUGAUCCACACAAAAAAAAACGCAAGAUUUCUUCUCAAGCAGUCAAGCCCACAUAAAAAAAAAAAAAUCUUAUGUUGGCAUUGAACGUUUAUUCUCUAAGGUAAACUACUAAUUCAUUUCAUAUUUCUUGACUUUUAUAUUACUCAAUUCUUCUAAAUGUCACUCUAUUCUACUUCUUCUAUACUACGACACCUAUAUUUAACAUGCAAAUGUUUUCUUAGAUCAGAAAACUAAUUAAGGUUUAGUUCUUUUUCCAGAAUCUAAAUUAGAGAGGCAAAAGGAGUCAUGAUAAAACAUAUUAAGGUUUUUCUUUUUCUAUCUCUCAUAUUACCCUCUAAAAUCUCUGUUUUAUUCAUGUACCCUUUUUAUGUUUCAAGAAAUCCUCCAUGGCUAACAAAUGAUGAUCUUUAACUGAUGCAGGUUUUAAAAUUUGAUGGUAAGACUUUCAAAAGAUGACAAAGAACCCAACACUUCACCUAGGAAACAUUUCAUCAAGAAAAUUGCAUAAUAUGUAGAUGGAAUUAUAUGUAAGAAUGGCAUUCUACUACUUAAUUAGAUAAUUUGUAACCAUUGUAGUCUCGGUUAAACUGAUACGUUCAAAUGUUUUAAAUCGUUGUUUAAAAUAUUGCAACAAAAUAGUUUUAUAUUUUAAAUAUAUUAAUUCAAACUUAUGCUUAUAUAUCACAUAAAAUC